rnacentral:rRNA from 1 species
UACGAAGGGGGCUAGCGUUGCUCGGAAUCACUGGGCGUAAAGGGUGCGUAGGCGGGUCUUUAAGUCAGGGGUGAAAUCCUGGAGCUCAACUCCAGAACUGCCUUUGAUACUGAAGAUCUUGAGUUCGGGAGAGGUGAGUGGAACUGCGAGUGUAGAGGUGAAAUUCGUAGAUAUUCGCAAGAACACCAGUGGCGAAGGCGGCUCACUGGCCCGAUACUGACGCUGAGGCACGAAAAGCGUGGGG